rnacentral:rRNA from 1 species
AUACGGAGGAUCCGAGCGUUAUCCGGAUUUAUUGGGUUUAAAGGGUGCGUAGGCGGCUUUUUAAGUCAGGGGUGAAAGACGGCAGCUCAACUGUCGCAGUGCCUUUGAUACUGAAGAGCUUGAAUGUGGCUGAAGAUGGCGGAAUGAGACAAGUAGCGGUGAAAUGCAUAGAUAUGUCUCAGAACUCCGAUUGCGAAGGCAGCUAUCUAAACCAUUAUUGACGCUGAUGCACGAAAGCGUGGGGAUCGAACAGGAUUAGAUACCCUGGUAGUCCACGCCCUAAACGAUGAUAACUCGAUGUUAGCGAUAUACCGUUAGCGUCCAAGCGAAAGCGUUAAGUUAUCCACCUGGGGAGUACGCCCGCAAGGGUGAA